rnacentral:rRNA from 1 species
GACGAACGCUGGCGGCGUGCUUAACACAUGCAAGUCGAACGGAAAGGCCCUGCUUUUGUGGGGUGCUCGAGUGGCGAAAGGGUGAGUAACACGUGAGUAACCUGCCCUUGACUUUGGGAUACUUCAGGAAACUGGGGCUAAUACCGGAUAGGAGCUCCUGCUGCCUGGUGUGGGAUGGAAAGAUUCGGCGGUUGGGGAUGGACUCGCGGCUUAUCAGCUUGUUGGUGGGGUAGUGGCUUACCAAGGCUGUGACGGGUAGCCGGCCUGAGAGGGUGACCGGCCACAUUGGGACUGAGAUACGGCCCAGACUCCUACGGGAGGCAGCAGUGGGGAAUAUUGCACAAUGGGCGGAAGCCUGAUGCAGCAACGCCGCGUGCGGGAUGACGGCCUUCGGGUUGUAAACCGCUUUCGCCUGUGACGAAGCGUGAGUGACGGUAAUGGGUAAAGAAGCACCGGCUAACUACGUG